AUGAAGAACAUCACCAAAUGGCCAUAAGGUCUAGGAUUUGUGACAAAAGUAAUCCCAUGGCUUUACCUGAAGCAGCAUUCAGGAAGCGGUUUAGACAGACGCAUUUAGUUUCAUCCUAUCGUAAAUAGAAUUUAACGGACAUUUAUCAACCGCAGUACCACCAAUUCUUCUAUUAGCAGCGACUUUGUCCCUUUUGGCAGGUGGAGGCUAUCAACACUAAGUUGGAAACCACUUUUUAAUUGUUAAUGAAAUGGAAACGAGGCUUUGUCUACAUUUCACUAAGUUUUCGCCAAACCGUUUAUCUAAGUGAAUAGAAUACUUUGUUGAGAAAUAUAAAGUUCCAGGAGUUAUCGGAUGUAUUGAUGGUACACAUUUUGGCCUUCAAAAACCAACUGUGAAUGAACAUAUGUUUUUCAACAGAAAAGGAUACCACAGUCUUAAUUCAAUGAUAAUUUGUGAUUACGCACAUCGAAUUUUAGCUAUUCAUUCAAAAUAUAGUGGAGCCGCUGACGAUUCCUUUGUAUGGAAGCAUUCUGCGCAGAGGAGAUUUUUGGAGGAAGCAUACGGAUACAAUCAAAAUAAUAUGAGAAAUGUCUGGCUUUUGGCAGGAGAUUCUGGAUAACCUUUAGAACCAUGGUGUUUGACACCAUUUAAAAACCCCGAACAUGGCUCAUGCCAAGCACGGUUUAAUGAAACCCAUGCAAAAGCACGCUCUAUUGUUGAACGAAUCAUUGGUAUACUGAAAGGCCGGUGGAAAAUUCUUAGUAACGAUAAAAGAAGUCGGUAUAGUUCUGAAAAGAUGGCAAAGUUCGGCAAUGUAUGUGCAGCGUUGCAUAACAUCUGCAUACAAUCUAAAAAUUCAACAUAUUGCAGAUAUUUUGUAAAUGAAAAGAAUGAUGCUGAAAUAGAU